ACAAGCAUCGUUAAAUGGUUAGGAUGUCUGCCUUCCAAGCAGAGAAUGUCGGUUCGAGUCCGACUGCUUGUACC
rnacentral:tRNA from 1 species